UGUUUUUUAAUCAUCAUAUUGAGCAGAGGCCAACAAUAUUUAUUUAGAGUUGCACAAAGACACGGUUUCGCCUUUUAAUCCAUACAUUUAAUGACUUAUGUCCUUGUAGGUAGGAUAAUUACCACAACACUGAACCGGAUUUAAAUUACAAGAUUUAACCGAGAAGAGAAAAAACAAACCGAAACUAAAUGAAAAAAGUUAAAAGUAGGGGAAAGCGAGCUUGAAACUACGUUUUAUCGGCUUCGCAGUCUUGCAUUUCCAGUCGGGAGGUUUCGCCCGAUGCGGAGCUUAAUUGCUACGAAAAAGGAACCGAAAGAAAUACGGAGCUUUGUUUAAAUUCUAACUGAUUAAACAGACUAUCUUUAUAAAAAAGGAUAAUUGCAUUAAGAUUCCAAAGACUUUUUGAAAACGGACUGCAGAAACGGGCCUUACUGAGACUAUUUGUGAAGAAACCAAAAUGCGAAGAGCACAUGAGCAAUUUCAGUGGAAUUGGAAUAACGGAAACCAAAUUUAUAUUCACUGUAUUUCUGAUUGGAAUAGGAGCUAGUUUAUCUAUUCUCUUGUUAGAAAUAUCUAUUUUUAAAAUCACCCAUUCGUUGAUUUAUUAUAAUAUUUUAAGGAAAUAUCAUGUACUACAAUCUUAUACCAACUAAACACACGUUUAAAUACAUAUAUGUUGUUAAAAAUAAUGUCUAUAGGAUUGUGGAGUUGCCUGGCU